GCUUGUCUCAAAGAUUAAGCCAUGCAUGUCUUAGUGUAAAUAACUCUUAUGAAACUGCGAAUGGCUCAUUAAAUCAGUUAUCGUUUAUUUGAUGGUCCCUUACUACAUGGAUAACCGUAGUAAUUCUAGAGCUAAUACAUGCACAAAGGCCCGACUCACGAAGGGCUGUAUUUAUUAGAUUUAAAGCCGACAUCUUUUGGUGAUUCAUAAUAACUUUUCGAACCUCAUGCCUUUAUGGUGGAGGUGAUUCAUUCAAAUUUCUGCCCUAUCAACUGUCGACUGUGAUAUAGACGCUCACAGUGGUUUUGACGGGUAACGGGGAAUCAGGGUUCGAUUCCGGAGAGGGAGCCUUAAAAACGGCUACCACAUCCAAGGAAGGCAGCAGG
rnacentral:rRNA from 1 species